GGGUUGUGAGGUUAAGCGACUAAGCGUACACGGUGGAUGCCCUGGCAGUCAGAGGCGAUGAAGGGCGUGCUAAUCUGCGAUAAGCGCCGGUAAGGUGAUAUGAACCGUUAUAACCGGCGAUACCCGAAUGGGGAAACCCAGUGUGACUCGUCACACUAUCAUUAACUGAAUCCAUAGGUUAAUGAGGCGAACCGGGGGAACUGAAACAUCUAAGUACCCCGAGGAAAAGAAAUCAACCGAGAUUCCCCCAGUAGCGGCGAGCGAACGGGGAGGAGCCCAGAGCCUGAAUCAGCAUGUGUGUUAGUGGAAGCGUCUGGAAAGGCGCGCGAUACAGGGUGACAGCCCCGUACACAAAAGCGCAUGUGCUGUGAGCUCGAUGAGUAGGGCGGGACACGUGGUAUCCUGUCUGAAUAUGGGGGGACCAUCCUCCAAGGCUAAAUACUCCUGACUGACCGAUAGUGAACCAGUACCGUGAGGGAAAGGCGAAAAGAACCCCGGCGAGGGGAGUGAAAAAGAACCUGAAACCGUGUACGUACAAGCAGUGGGAGCACAGGUUUACCUGUGUGACUGCGUACCUUUUGUAUAAUGGGUCAGCGACUUAUAUUCUG
rnacentral:rRNA from 2 species